rnacentral:rRNA from 1 species
UACGGAGGGUGCGAGCGUUGUCCGGAUUUAUUGGGCGUAAAGAGCGUGUAGGCGGCCUGACAGGUCUGCUGUGAAAACUCGAGGCUCAACCUCGAGAUGUCGGCGGAAACCGUCUGGCUAGAGUCCGGAAGAGGAGAGUGGAAUUCCUGGUGUAGCGGUGAAAUGCGCAGAUAUCAGGAAGAACACCUAUGGCGAAGGCAGCUCUCUGGGACGGUACUGACGCUGAGACGCGAAAGCGUGGGGAGCAAACAGG